GAUAUCGCAAAUGGCGACUACCGCGUCGGAGAGCGAAGAAGAGCGAAUGGAGAAAAAAGUUAAAAAGAGAGCGCAGAAAGUGGGAAAUAAACGAUGCUAUAUGCAUCUUUUUUCCGUGAAGAAGGAGAACGUCUUGGACUCCACUUUUCAACGGUGGAACACGUACAGAACCUGCUUAAAAAGUGGCUUUGUCUUCACAGCGCUAACAAGGAUCUUGCAGGAAUAUACAAGCAUUGCGUGGAUAUGGAUUUUGAAAAUAUUCCUGGUGUUGCACGGGUUGCCUGGGAGACGUCAGGCGGGUGUAUGCGCAUGCGCGCGCGGGGAAAAGAGAGCGCGCGCCGGAAGGCGAGAGAGUCUAGCUACGUUGAGGCAGUCGGACGUUAAGUGUGUGCGCAGCAGUAAACGCCACCCGUUAUAAAGAAAUCAAGAGCAGUCAUCCUCUUUUUCCACCUGUCACCUCACGAGUCACGCGAGGGAGGUAACACUGGCGACGCUGGAUUCCACAUUAAUGUUACCGGCGUUUCACUGAUAAACAGAAAUUGUUAAAGGCUGAGAAAAAAUCCGCACGUGCUGGGGGAGAGCCAUCUGCAGCCGCGAGCCAUUCUGACCCCCCUGCGAGUACUAGCGAAGUUGCAGAAGCGUCCGAAAGUCCCAGAAAAAACACUUCGUUCCCGUUCUGGUUUGCCCAUCGCUUCUGCUGGCCCUGUCCUUCCAGCCACCUGCAUUAUUUGUAAAAAAAAGUGUCAAGGUAUGCUCGUUUAAUGGGAUCGGAAGGCAUACGGCAGCGGGAUCAUCUCGCCAAAGCAGAGACAUUGUCGGCAGGCUGGUUGCUGCAGGCAGUAGAGAUGAAGAAAGACUCUUCAAUCCUUCUACAUAUCAAAGACAAAGACUGUGUUGCAAUGGAGGUGCGAUACCAUAAAUCCUGUUACCGAGAUUACACCAGGUUCCUAACCAAGUCAACAGCAGCAGAAACUGCAACGAGGGACGAAGAACUAUGAGUUAUUACAUUGCACUAUUCCAUUGACACUUUGCUAAAAUUACACAUUUCAAAGACAACCCUAUGCUGAGCGCUACAAACUCUUUUGUGAGCAAGUGAUCCGUCAAAGGAUUAUCGUUGACAAAGAAGUGCUCAGAAUGGACAAGCUAAGAAGGUUGUUCGUGAACACCGUGAAGAACCAUGAGUAUCUUGAUGCUUCAGACUACAGGUAGGUUUUGCUGAAAAGAAGACUGAAGCGUGAUUUCCCCCAGUUGGUUUUUCACACCCCUUUCCAGCGCACCAUGUCUGAAAUGUUUUUUUUUUUGUUGUUUUUUUGGGAGACAUUAUCAACAACAGACAAACUUUUAGACAGGAUACCUCAGUCAUCGGCUACAUUAGCAACCAAAUCUACUGAGGGUCCACCCCAAGGCCUACCAAGCAACAGCUGACAUUCAGUGGUUCUGACUCCAACCAGAAAACAAGGACGAAGGCGGCGUCCACUCGGCCUUCCUGAGGUGGUAGCUCUGAAUCAACUCUCUUGCCUCAUGCGGCCCUCCGUUCGAUCCCUUACAUCUCACACUUUAAAGACAGGGACACUGAUUUGGUCUUUCCAUAAGCCUUUGAAUAAAUUUAGGGUGAAAGUUGGACGUUUAGUUGCAUACACAUCUAUAUAAGCAAGCUAGGGGUGGCGGUAGCAACCACCUUGACAAACAUACAGAGUGAGUGUUGCAUGAUGAGUUAAAAUUCUUGUUCACACACUUCACUACUAUUUAGAUCUAAGACAUGAAGCUUUAGAACUGGGACCCAUGGUGAGACAAUGCCGUUUGGCAACAGAUUGGACAUGAGUUCAACUACCCUAUGUCAUCAAUUCGUCAAGUACUGAAUGUUUUUGUAUACAGGUCACUGUGGUGGAUGUGGAGGUGUUGGAACAUACGAGGUUGAUACAUUUUCAGCGUGGUGAGCUUUCGGACCACGAGGACGCCGAACAGCUGUUGAACUUGCUGCCGGACUCACUGUGGUCCGAAGGACCUGGUGACAUUGGACUGCAUCACGGUGACUCAUGUCAUAUUUGAGGUAGAUCCGAAUACUUUUGUCAAUGUGCCCCAGCACCCCUGUAAACAGGAGGCAGCCAAAGACAUUACAGAGACGUACGAGAGGCUGCCAAAGGGCAGGGUCUUGGAAGAAUUGGUCUCUGCCUUCAACAGUCCUAUUUUGAUAGAAAAUCGACUGAAAACUGUUUGAAAGCAACCCACACCUUGUUACUCUUUCUUGGUGAUUUGGGGUUCAAGGUUUCCAGGAAGAAACUCCAGUGUAGAUGAUCGGUGCCAUUUCUAAGACAUGAUUUCGAUUAGGUGCUCACUCCGAGUACUUCACAAUUUUCCUCCAUUGUGCCAUAUCCUCGAUGGACUAAUGUUAAAAUUUUACUCUCUUUUCUGGAUCUCUGAGGUUGAUCCCAGAGCUUUAUCCCUAAAUUUGCUGUAUGGACUGGAAUUAUGCAAGGCCUAAGCAAGAAAUAUGCAUAAAUGAUUCCUAUGACUACUGACUGGACUGACAAUACUGGAAUGGGCCUUUGCACUAAGGAAGUGGUGGUAAUGGACUUUAUGUACAUGGUGGUGCAGGUCCAAACGAAACCAAUCUCCCUAAAAUGAGUUAAAUUCCCUUGUUUUGUCUACUAGAAAUAAGUGAAACUAUCUUCAAACCAAUUUUACACAAAUUUCCGUGAGUGUAAAAAUAGCUAGCUGAAAAUAAUCUUGACAAAUUUAUUUUAAGAAAUGAAUUAGCGUGUUUAAUCUUGAAAAAAUAUUUGUUUAUAGUUUGGUAGAGAUAUGUUUUUAAAUCAAGAAUGGAUAUUGUUCAAUGACUAUAAUUGUAAGCAAUUUUUUCUUGAUUUGGGUGAAAAUAUACAAACUUUUAGACAUAUGGGCUUAAUAAGAAGAAAUUGUCAUAUUUACUUAAAAUAAAUGGAAUAAUCUGACGCAUUAAUCUGCUAACUGGUUUUUAACACUCUAAACAAGUCAGAGAAAAUCAUUUGAUCAGAUUUUAGAAAAAUUAUCUGAUUAGGACAUUAUAAAUUUGUGGUGUACCUGUUGCUGAUUGUUGACAUUUUCAGGGUGGCAUGGGGCCUAACUAUUUGGAUGCUCUGCCCGUCAUCAGAGCAUUAGUUAACUACUAUAUUCGAAUUUAUGGGUUCCUGGAAUUAAUCAGAUUGUGUUAUGGCAAGAAUUUCACGACAAAUUCUUAUUUAUUUGAUAGGGAAAGUGCACAUUACGAACAUUAUUUAGUCGCAGAUAAAAAAAACAUAGAUUUGCCUUAUAGCAAAAAUGCUAAAUUCUUUGGCUGCUGUUAAAUCCAUGCUGGGACUCAGGCACAUAUUUGGUUCCGCAUAUCAUCCUCAAUCUCAAACUCUUGUGGAGUUAAUGAAUCGCAUCAUCAAACAGCGCUUGGUGAAAAUGUGUGCACAAACAGGGCUUAUUUGGCUCCAAGCCCUGCCUCUUGUUAUGUUUUCCAUCAGGCAACUUGUUAACUGCCGGACAGGGUUCACAAUUUUUGAACUCCUGACUGGUCGCCUGAUGCCCUGUCCAGCCUCGGCUUUGCUCCAGCCCAGGGGUCGCGUUAACCGAAUAUUUUCCGUCGUUGACCGAUUUUUAAAAACGGUGACGGAAAAAACUGAAGUCCAUCCGUCAUUUUGACAGGUUGCAAUUCACACCCCAGACCACAGGGUGGAGAGUGGGCAUAUUAAUUAGCUAUUGUCUCUCUUGAUGCAUGACGUCGUUGGCUUUACUCUGAAAAAUGUCAAGGCAACUGAGUGUCCAAAGUUUCUUCAAAAAGCCCCAAAACGACGAUGGUGUUGAUAAAAGAGGUGAAAAAACAGGGACUGCACAAGCGGGCACGCAAUUCAAGUCCAUGCGCACCAGGAGGAAGACUGCGUUCAGGCCACAGCAGGUGAACUAUUAAUUUCAUUGUUCCAUACCUACCUGGGCCACAGUCAGCUGUUUUUGUCACAGCGGAGAAAAAGUUACAUAUUCAUCUGCUUGAUGUGUGAUGGCAUGGUGUGGAUUCUCUGUUAAGCUUGUUCGGACAGAAUAUUAAUUGGAAUGAAAACUAAACACUAGUGAUAGGACGAAAUGGGCCGAGGUUCCGAAGCUUGUGUCGAGUAAAGGGAGGGGUGUUUCCACGAAGCGCCACGAAGAGGCGCGCGUCAUUUCGGCAGAACCCGGAAACGAUGUCGUGAGAAGCCUCGCCGGCCGACUGAAUCUAGUUAACGCUUCGGAAGUGAUCCGACGUUCGGCGCGCAUUGCAAACACAGUAGGCUACAGACUACGGUAUAAAUUGGUUGCAAAACGCAAUGGCGAUCGCCUGUUAUCUCACAUUUUGUGCAUUUCGGGCUCCUGUACUUGUUACAUGAUCUGUGCGCAACAGUGCAACCAGUGCAAUCUUUUUUCGAGCCUUGUCCUUUGCUUGCGAUGGAAACUGCGCAAAAAAAGCGACCCUCCCCUGUAUGGGAACAUUUUCAUUUGAUUGCUUUCAAUAAGGUAAGGGAGAAGAACUACAUUAAUAUAAAUGUGAGUGUGUGUACCUAUCUGAACCAAACAUCAACAGAAUGAACAAUCCAAUAGUGUACUGGGAGGCACAAAAGAAUACCUACCCAAAUUUAUAUAAACUGGCACUCACAUUUAUCUGCACCCCAGCUUCAUCUGUGCCUUGUGAAAGAAUAUUUUCUAAAGCUGGUGCAAUAUUGUCCAAAAAAAGAAACCGUUUAAAGCCAGCCACUGUGGGAAAGCUAUUAUUUCUCAACAAAAUGAAUAACAAAUUAUCCUUAGCACUUGUUGUAUUUUGUUCACAUACUAAAUUACUAACAUAAGCACAUUCAUAUCUUUGUCAUAAUCAAAUAACCAUUGAAUUCUUAACAAUGUUGACCACUUGGGCUUGUAGACCAGGGGUCUCCAACCCAGUCCUCAAGGCCCACUGUGGGUCCUGAUUUUUGUUCCAGCUGAUCCAGCAGAGACAGUUGAACCAAUGAGGCUUCUGCUAAAACAAGCCACACCUGACAGCAAUCAACUGAUUGCACUUGUAAAACACCAGAUUGGGGAAAAAGUGUUGUCAUCUUGUUUGGUAAGAAUGAAAUCCUGCACCCACAGUGGGCCUUAGUGGAAUAGGUUGGGGACCCCUGUUGUAGACCACUUGAUGGCGCCAUAGAGUAAAUGAAGCUUUGCUACAUGUGCAAACCGAUUGGCUGCAAAGCUUCAUUGCUUCAUGAGGCUUCAUUUGGCCAUCACUACUAAAUACUGUUGAAGCGGUAUGCAAUGUUAAGAGUCUUGUUAGCUCGAAUUGCUGUGUCCAACCGCUAUAGCUCUGCUGCUCUCUGUGAACUCUCUAUUCACGCCGGAACGUGCGCGGCUCUUAAAUGUCUCUGUCACGUGACUGUGUCGUAGCCGGUAACGCGCUCGGCCAAAUGGACACACAAUUACGGAAGGUGAAUUAUGCCAAACAAAGGGUCACCACAAUGUCAUUAUCAUCAUUUAAAAAAUUUAAGUGACUGGUAAAAAUAGAUUAUGACCGGAUUUUUAUGACCCUGUCAGUCAAAAUGACAGACAACGAAAAAGUCUAGCGCAACCUCUGCUCCAGCCGGACGUGGAACCGCCCAAGGGCUACAAGCCCUACUAGGAGCAGUUGUCUUUUCGUGUCAUCACUUUGUGUUUCAGAUCCUGCCCUUGAGAACGUCUCAUGCUGUCCGCCUCUCUGGACGGAGGACAGGUACCAUGUGUCACAGACUCGCCCAGUGCCUGUUUCUGGCCUUUCAUUUUCGGUUCAGUAACUUUUUGCCACUCUUAUCUUACUCGUUUUGGGGUUAUUGUUCGCUAGAUUUUAUAAUCGUUGAUUUGUUUCUGUGGCGUUUUUUUUUUCUUCUUUUUCUGUUGUAUAGGGAGUAAACUAACAAAAAAGGGGUCAAAUAUGUUUGGCCGAAAACUGCUGUCAUCAUGACUCUGGUGAUCGUUCUGAUUUUAGUUUCAGGAACUUAUUUCGGGCUAGAGAAACUUUGGCUGACAGACCAAAAUGAUCUAACAACGUCUGGGAUGUCCGAAGUGUCGAGAGGUAAAUUGUCUUGUACAGUAUGUGGUUACAUCCAGUGUGCCUCUGUCAGAGGUGAGUAUAGACCCUGCCCACGUGACGUCACAACUCCUUCCUCCUGACUGGUGCCGCCCAUUUGUCCGUCAACACAUCAUGUUUACCUGUUACGGCUACGUACAUUCCUCCUAUUUACGUGUUUUUCUGCUCGUUAACAUUAAUAAUCAAAAUGGUGAAGGCGUGUGUGGCGGUCGGUUGCAAUAACAGAGAAGAUAGACGGAGAAGACGGAGAGACUUGAAGUUCUACCGGAUUCCGAGAGACCCGGAGAGAAGAGAGCGAGAUGGGCUGCUGCAAUUCGACGAGAAAACUGGGCUCCAAACGAUUACCACAGAUUAUGUAGUCGUCAUUUUAUAUCUGGUAAGAUGCAUUUAAUAUAUAUUUAGAGGGUUUUGGGCUGACAACCACAAUUAAGAUCAUUGCUCGGCUAAUCGCCGACAACAUACACGUAUGUAUGUAGUGAGAGUGCUAUCGCUAAACCAUAUAAACAUUAAAAGCCCUAACUCCAUUGACAAACGACAUGAAAUACAUUAGACUUGACAGUGGAUGUUAGCAAGAACAAAAGAUUUUGAAUUGAAAAUUUCGUAACUCACCUUUCCAAGCACAAGAUAGAUUCCUGCCGAAUUUUCGUGGACGAGGACCUGUUUCACCCAACCAGCAACAAAGUAUUUAUAAGCCUCCAAGCUCUUAAAGUUUUUCAAACUUUCGUGAGAAUAGGCUUAUUUUGUGUGGACAAGAUAGUUGUACAUAUCAGGGUAGCUAGCAGAUGUCAGGCAAAUACGGCGGAGACAGCGGGUCGAAAAACAUCGAUUUAGGCAUCAAAUAUGGAUCUGGCGAAUGGAUAAACUGAAGCUUUUCCACAUAACGCCUUUUAUGCAACGCAUCAAGUGAGUUUACGGCAUCCAAAAGCACCGGGUCUUCCAUGAAAUGCAUUAUAAAUUGCUCGAUCAAUUGAGACCAUUGAUAAUACAGACACAAAAUGACGGACAAGGGGGCGGAACCAUACAGCGAGCACGUGGUUUUGUGACGUCGGUGGGUAGGGUCUAUAAAUGAAGCCAAUUGUAUUGUUUGUGUUAAUUGUUGACGAGACGUUGCUGCUUAGCAUGGAGCACUGAGAUAGUUAGUGAUUUUGGUUAUUAGUGAUUUAAGGGUCCGGUUGUAUUGUGUUUUGGAGAAGCAAAAUUACACUUGAGUUAUUGUUAGAUAGUAAAGUGGUCUCAUUUCUGUUUUAUGAAGAAACCAUACAGAUAAAUGGCAUUGAUUUAUUAUUUCCGUAAUAAUCCAUAACAGCCUUAGUCUCCUUUCUACACGAGCUCCCGUUCGAACUGUAAAUAGUCAUAAAAGAGAGUGCGCUUUGUAAUUGGAUUUGGUUUGUAUUUAUUCUAUUUUUUUGAUCAAGCUCGCCGAUUCAUUUUUAUUCAAUUCAGUUUUAUUUGUAUAGCCCUAUGUCACAACAAGGUUGUCUCAAACGCUUUGCCCACAGGAUAUAAUAUGUCAAACAGCAGCACAUUCCUAUUUGAAAGAACAGGACUACUUCUUAUUUGUGUACUGAGAAAUUGUUUUAAGGUUUUAUACAUAGGUCCGUUACUGACUACUUGGAACAAGUUUUAUGCACUUAAAACGGUACAUUUGUAGACUACAGUUAAGUCAGGAUGCUGUAAUAAAGUAUUUUGCAAGGAAAUAGUUAUUCCGUUUUUCAUUGUCACUCAUAAUAUGCCCAAUUCAACUUCAAAUUGAAUUGUGAUUAAUUAAGAAAUUGACAUUUAUCCGAUUAAUCGAUUAUUAAAUAAUCAUUAGUUGCAGUCCUAGGUUAGAGUUUUUUUCCAUUGGUUAUCCGAAACUAAAAUUUUGACUGUAUUUAUUAUUAUAAUUGUCGAAGUCAGAUUUAUUUUGCCUCCAUAUUAGCGUUUAGGUUCAUGAACGAUUUCCGACUAUUUCCUGCAUGGCAUGUCAGUAUAGAGUACCCUCGACUGCCUGUUAGUUGCAACAGGGGGUGCACGUACUCGUAUUAAAUUGUUCUAAUAUUAACAGUUUUAACAACACGGCUAGGGAUAGGAUGGUCACCGGAACCAUGAAAGGAUUGCAAGUCAUAUCUAUUAAUUAAAAUUCUGUGUUGGGGGUGUUAAGUAGGUAUUUCGGUGCUUGUAUGUGGCUGUGGUAUCUUUGUCUUAGGAGUUUUAUUACUUUUUUCCAGGAGACCAUGGUGAGAGAAGAUCCAUUGGGCCAAUGUUAACUUGAACCUCUGAAUCCUGAGGUUAUGGUGGAGCUGACCCUUGUCUCCAUGGGGAUGGGACAGUGUCCUUACUUUGCGUUGUUGUCUGCAUUCUAGAUUUCUUUUUGUGGUUUUUUAUUUUUAUAUUAUAGGCACUUUCAUUUAUCUUAAUUGUUGUUAGCGAUCUCUAAUACUUAAAGAAGAAGAAGGGAGCAAAGGGCACAUUUCCGAGGACCAGAAGACGUGUAGGAGCACCUAUUCUGGCGAAGCCAACAGCUGACAUCGAGAAUAACCAUCUCCCCAUUUGGCAUCAAGGGACAGGAAUUCCAUGGACAUUCAACCAAUCACAAGAACUCACAUCCUCAGUUCCUCAUCUAUAAAAUACCGGCCAAGCCAGAAAGGCUUGGUCAGUCUACUCCGAUCUUUUUUGGGCUAGGACGAGGAGUAGUUCAUUAACCCAGCAUGCUGUUUAGAACUCCUCUGUCAAAAACUUAGGGCAAGAAAUUGUUGACUUUGAAAAUGUCGUUAUUGGAGUCCUUUAACGAAAACGAACAUGACUGGAACCUUGAGGAUUAAUCAUUUAACAGGUAAUUUAAAAAGGUUCCUUUAAUGUUCUGGAGUGGCCAAGUCAAAGUCUAGACUUGAACCCCAUUGAGAUGCUGUGGCAUGACCUAAAGACACCAACUCAUUCAACACAUCCCAGGAAUCUGACUGAAAUACAGCAGUUUUGUAGAGAAGAAUAGGCCCGGAUUAGUCCUGAUCGAUGUCCCGGACUGAUCUGCAGCUACAGGAAGCGUCUGGUUAAAGUUAUUGCUUCCAAAGUGUGGGCCACAAAAUAUUAAAUGUGAUAGUUCACUUACUUAUUUUCCCCUUUCUGUCAUUGUUUGCAUACUAUCCUCAUUGAAAUAUGAAAAGCCAUAGGCGGUGUUUGGCUUUUGGGGCGGGGGGGGCACAACAUGUUGAUGACCCCAAAACACAGUGUCAGCAAUAAAAUUAACUUACAAGAAUGUUUAUAACAAUAAGUUGAAAAUGAGCGUUUUUUUUUUGUUUCCCAUCAUUCUUGAGGGGAAUUCUAGAUCAGGCUGCUUAGGACAGCUGUACUUUUCGCCAAGAAGGUCAUCCAUUGAAUAUUGUGUGCCCGCCAGUGUAGUUACCCCAGUCAUAAUUGUAUCAUCUCAGCGGAGCCAUAUGGAGGUAGAUUUCUGUCGUCAUUAUUCGAUCCCAAAAAAAGUUGCUUUAAUCAAGAAAAAAAAAGUUCUAUCAAAAUAUAUAUUUUCAAUUAAAAAAAAAAGUCACCUCCAAAAAAAAUGUGUUUGAAGGCAAAAAUAAAGCUAUUAAAGCUGUUUGGUUUUUUUUUUUUUUUUGAUUGAAGUUAUUUAUUUAUUUAUUUAUUGGUUGAAGCAAGUAUUUUGAUUGAAGUAAUGUUGUUUUGCGUCUGGUACACAUUUUGGCUAGGACAUUUGUGUCUUUAUAAUUCAAUCAAAAAAUAUGUAUUUUCAACAACAAAAAAAUCAAAAAAAGAAACAUUUCAAUCAUACAAAAAAAGUUUUUGAAUGCGAAAAAAUAUUUGAGACUCAAAUAUUUGCAUUUUUCACUAAAUUUUGUUUUUCGAUUUUAGCAAUCCUUUUUGUGGGACAUUUGUGUCUAAAUCAUUCAAUCCCCCAAAAAGUUGCUUUAAUAAAAAAGAUGUAUUUAUUUUGUCAAACAAAGAAAAAAAAAAUCAUUUGAAAAUUAAAAUUGCCCUCCCCUCAUUUAAAAAAAAAAAAAAAAAAAAAAAUGCAAAGCAAA